rnacentral:piRNA from 1 species
UGAAUAAGGCAGUACUCUAGUUCCU